rnacentral:lncRNA from 1 species
GCUUUGGACUGUUGGCUCAAUAUUCGUGAAUAUAGCAUCAUUCCUGAUUUCCCAGAUAGACCACAAAAUGGUAACAAUAAUCUCCAUGAAAAAACGUACUUGUAGCUGAGUUCUCAAGUGUUCAAGCAGAUUGAAGAUGUUAUCAUCAUUUGGGAGAAUGAAUCCAAGGGAUAGCCAGCAGGCUUGUGUCAGGGGACAGAACAAGAAGAGAUGCUGCCAUGUUUCUUCAGUUUGAGAAUGGCACAAAGCACAAGUGUAAUCCUCCAAAUGCAUAUGUUUUCUUCUUAGGUGGACUGUGGUAUUGAGCUUUUCAUGCAACCAUAACCAGCAGAAGAUUUUUCUUUUUUUUUCUGACAAGAACUUUUCCAAAGCCAAUUAAAGGCCGGAUGAACCUGUCUAGAUCCAUUGAGCUGUUUGUAAGCCUUCUGUGAUGAAAAACCUGAUCCCCAAAUAUAAGUCUAGAUGUCCUUAUCGUCAUUAAGGAGCAAACUGUCAGUCAAGCUAAUGCAGUCUUUAAGUUCAGUAAAAGCCUCGUCAACUCCAAAAUUGGACGCAAAUAGGACGUGUCUCCUUGUUUUCUCCAUAGCAAUGAACUUUUACAGUUUACUUGCUCUGAUCCAUUAGGCUUCGACGAAUUCAGUAUACAUAUAUUAUGAUCAUACUUACCCUAGCUAAUAUAUGUCAAUUAUAGAAACAUUAGGCUUCGACGAAUUGUUGUGU